rnacentral:rRNA from 1 species
AGUGAACGCUGGCGGUAUGCCUAACACAUGCAAGUCGAACGGCAGCACAGUAAGAGCUUGCUCUUACGGGUGGCGAGUGGCGGACGGGUGAGGAAUACAUCGGAAUCUACUUUUUCGUGGGGGAUAACGUAGGGAAACUUACGCUAAUACCGCAUACUACCUACGGGUGAAAGCAGGAGAUCUUCGGACCUUGCGCGACUGAAUGAGCCGAUGUCGGAUUAGCUAGUUGGCGGGGUAAAGGCCCACCAAGGCGACGAUCCGUAGCUGGUCUGAGAGGAUGAUCAGCCACACUGGAACUGAGACACGGUCCAGACUCCUACGGGAGGCAGCAGUGGGGAAUAUUGGACAAUGGGCGCAAGCCUGAUCCAGCCAUACCGCGUGGGUGAAGAAGGCCUUCGGGUUGUAAAGCCCUUUUGUUGGGAAAGAAAAGCAGCAGGUUAAUACCCCGCUGUUCUGACGGUACCCAAAGAAUAAGCACCGGCUAACUUCGUG